GACGAACGCUGGCGGCGUGCUUAACACAUGCAAGUCGAACGGACAGGCCCUGCUUUUGUGGGGUGCUCGAGUGGCGAAGGGGUGAGUAAAACGUGAGUAUACUGUCCUUGACUUUGGGGUAAAUUCACGAAACUGGGGCGAAUACCGGAUAGGAGCUACUGCUGCAUGGUGUGGGUUGGAAAGUUUCGGCGGUUGGGGAAGGAAUAGCGGCUUAUCCGCUUGUUGGUGGGGUAGUCGCAUACGAAGGCUUUGACGGGUAGCCGGCCUGGGAGGGUGACCGGCCACCAUGGGACUGAGAUAGGGAGCAGACGCGUACGUGAGGCAGCAGUGGGGAAUAUUGCACAAUGGGCGGACGCCAGAUGCAGCAACGCUGCGUGCGUGAUGCCGGCCUUCGAGGUAAAAACCGCUUUCGCCGGUGACGAAGCGUUAGUGACGGUAAUGGGUAAAGAAGCACCGGCUAACUACGUG
rnacentral:rRNA from 1 species